UUAGCUUAGCACAAUUGGUUACUUCUUUUGUAUAUAAACUCCAUUUGAGGCUCAUCAAAUAUACAGACUUUUCAUUCUAGUUUUCUGCCUUCAUAGCUUUUACCGAUAGACCCUCAGCUAUACAAGUCAUAACCUAAAAACAAAAUAAUAAGAGCUAGUAACUAAAAAACCAAAGCACCGGAGAAGUCUCCUGUUGAUACACCGCUUAAGCCUCCGGCUGAUUCAACAUUGAAACCACCUGACGAACCAGAGCAGCCUCCUGCUGAAACUACUCAUAAGCCUCAGGCUGGUUCAACAUCAAAGCUAGCCGAAGCACCAGACCAGUAGUUUAAGGAAGAGGAGCAUGUUGACGCUGGAGCCACCACAUCUUCCAUGGAUCAUGACGAUGCAUCUGUAUAAGCAAAUCCUUGUAGCCAAAAGUUAUAAACAUCGUCAGUGUAGUCAAUAUUACUAAGUUAGGAUUCCUAGGGAAAGAGAAGCCUGAGUUGGAUGGGGCUCGAUAGAAACUUACUCUUGCAGAUUCUUCCUUCCCUUAUGUUGUUGAAAGCACGAAUAGCACAAAGGAAUUUUAAUUUACUAGUGACUCCAGACAG
rnacentral:lncRNA from 1 species